UACGUAGGGUGCAAGCGUUGUCCGGAAUUAUUGGGCGUAAAGAGCUCGUAGGCGGUUUGUCGCGUCUGCUGUGAAAACCCGAGGCUCAACCUCGGGCCUGCAGUGGGUACGGGCAAACUAGAGUGCGGUAGGGGGAGAUUGGAAUUCCUGGUGUAGCGGUGGAAUGCGCAGAUAUCAGGAGGAACACCGAUGGCGAAGGCAGGUCUCUGGGCAUUAACUGACGCUGAGGAGCGAAAGCAUGGGGAGCGAACAGG
rnacentral:rRNA from 1 species